rnacentral:tRNA from 1 species
GGGGUUGUAGCUCAGUGGUAGAGCUCUUGCCUUGCAUUCAUGAAGCCCUGGGUUCUAUCCCCAGCACCA